GCUUACAGCCAUAUCACGUUGAAUGUACAGAUUCUCGUCCGAUCACCGAAGUUAAGGAACGUCUGCCCUAGUGAGUACUUAGAUGGGUGACCGCUUGGGAAACCUAGUGCUGUAAGCA
rnacentral:rRNA from 1 species